rnacentral:rRNA from 1 species
CCUACGGGAGGCAGCAGUGAGGAAUAUUGGUCAAUGGCCGGAAGGCUGAACCAGCCAAGCCGCGUGCGGGAGGAAGGUGCAGAGCGUCGCAGACCUCUUUUGCCGGGGGACAAAAGUCCGGACGGGUCCGGUUCUGAGGGUACCCGGCGAAAAAGCAUCGGCGAACGCCGUGCCAGCAGCCGCGGUAAUACGGGGGAUGCGACCGUUAUCCGGAUUCAUUGGGUUUAAAGGGUGCGUAGGCGGGCCUUUAAGUCGGCGGUGAAAUCGCGGGGCUCAACCCCGCCGCGCCGUGGGAACUGGGGGCCUAGAGUGCGGCGGAGGCAUGCGGAAUGCGCGGUGGAGCGGUGAAAUGCAUAGAUAUCGGGCAGAACCCCGAUUGCGAAGGCAGCGUACCGUGCCGCCACUGACGCUGAGGGACGAAAGCGCGGGGAUUGAACAGGAUUAGAUACCCCGGUAGUC